rnacentral:tRNA from 1 species
AGCUGGCCCAGCGCGGCGAGGCGCUCGGCCUCCGCGGCGCGCUGCCGGGCCGCGCCGAGGCGCAGGCCCGCGGCGUUCAACGCCUCGACCAGCCG